UGGCUCCAUGGGAGAGGGUCCUUCGCCUGUCAGAGCCUUCCCAGCUGGGAGAAGCGGUGCCGCCGGCUGUGGUCCCAGAGCCCUAUCAGCCGAGCCUGUGGCGAAUUAAUCACUUGCGUUUUAAAUGCCAAUACAGCCCUUUCUGCCUUCUUCCCCCAGUGAUGCGGAUGCGGCGAAGGCAGCAAAUCCUCCGGCUGUGCGUGCCCUCCCCGGACUGCUGCUCCAUCCCCGCCUGUCGUGCUCGCGCGUGUGCAUGGCUGGGAGUGCUGCCUAGGUGCGGCCAGGAAUGAGACAGCUGUGGGGCACGGAACAGUACAGCUCCAAGGGGUGACACAAGUGGGGGAUACCCCCCCUCUACACAAACAUCUGCAGGGCUGCAAGUUGCUUGAAGACAGGGGUCUUUUGUGCCUCCGCUUCAUCUCUGUCAUGCCCCGUAUGAAAUCAGGGAGCAAUCGCCCCUCCAGAAGCAGAAGGCAAAGUCGUUCGCAAUGAAUCCAUGGCAGCUUCGAUCGAGCGGUGAGCUGGAGCACCUACUCACAGGCCACUCCUUGAUGUGACUGAACAGAGACCUUUUCCAGCACUCGCCGAGGAGAGCAGAGCCCCGGAUUUACCUCCCGCGCACCCGGGCACCCCAGUGCAGGCACCGUGAGUGUCCUACUGGGAUCCUGGUGCUUUGGGCUUCCUCAUGUCAGGGACAGCUGGAGUUUGGGAGCUGCAAUCUUCCUCCUGA